CAUCACUCGCCUCACCUCAUCUCAUCACAUAGGUAUUUUACCAUCUCACAUUAUCAUAAGAAGAGCGAGUACAGUACAAUGAGGGUCAUAAGUCAGAUUCCUCCACUCCAAAAGAUGAAAUUAUGGCUGAAACACCUGCAAUACUACCACUAGAGCAGAGCAACUGGAGAAAACCCAGAUGACCCUGGGCACUUUCAACGUCAAGCUCAGCACCAGAGGGGCAGGCUGUGGGAGGUAUCGAAAGGCAAAGAAGUUGAAAGCAACAGUCCCGCAACUUUUAACUGCCAGGAUGAUAGCAGGAAACCUACACAGCCAUGGAGACAGAAGCAGCCCCUGCCAACCAAUCUCCAUUUACGAAACUUAACCCCCACCCAGUUUUGUUGUUGUUUUGGUUUUUUUUGUUUUUUGUUUUGUUUUUUUUUUUUUGUCGAGUACUACUGGAGCUUAUUCAUUUUUGGAGUUAUUAAUUAUAAAUAUAAAUAACCCCGA